AUGACAACUCUGAGCAGUGGAUCACUCUGCUCACGGGUCGAUGAAGAACGCAGCUUGCUGCGAUAAUUGGUGUGAAUUGCAGGACACAUUGAACACCGAACUAUCGAACGUGCAUAGUGGCCUCCGGUCUUCUGGGACUGGAGGCCUCGCCUGUUUAAGGGUCGUAUGAAACUUAGACUCUUAUUUUAGAGUCCAUUGGCCGCGUCGGGUAAUUACCCGUCGGCUUAAGUGUGAAAGGAAUUCUUCCGAGCCCUGGGAGCAGUCUCGAGUGGCCGGGGGAGCCUUUCCUCGUCAGGGCCACUCUUCGGUUCAUCCGGCUGCUCGCUUGAGGCUUUCCCCAAGAAUCGAAAGGAGGUACCUUAACAAAUAAAUUUUUUGAAUUAACGACCUCAGACAGACGAGACUAUCGGCUGAAUUUAAGCAUAUUAAUAAGUGGAGGAAAAGAAAACAACUGUGAUUCCCCUUGUAGUGGCGAGCGAACAGGGAUGAGCCCAGCGCCGAAUCCUUGCCUCGUGCAGGGAAAUGUGGCGUUUGGGCGAGUCGGGAGUGUGGACCUAGCGUGCGCGGGAAGUCCCCACGAUCGGGGCAUUUUCCUUAAAGGGUGUGAGGCCCGUCCACGCGCGCCGUGGUGCGCGCGCUUGUCGGGUUGCUUGGGAGUGAAGCCCUAAGACAGGUGGUAAACUCCACCCAAGGCUAAAUACGACCCUGAGACCAAUAGCCAACAAGUACCCUGAGGGAAAGUUGAAAAGAACUUUGAAGAGAGAGUUCAAUAGAACGUGAAACUGCUCAGAGAGAAACGGCUGGGCCCUCGAAGUCCAGUGUCGGGGGCGUUCAGCCCUGGUGUCGUCCUCUUCCGCCGAAGCGAGUGAAGGAACGCCCCUAACGUAAGGGCGCCGUCAUCGCGCCCAGGAUGUGGUUCGGCCCGGGUGCACUCGUCCCCUUCCAGAGGACGCCGCACCCCAUUCGUUUGUCGCGGGCCGUGAGGGCGGAUACUUGUAUGUGGACUCCGAUUGAGGAUGUUCCAAUUUCUUCCGCCCGGGUCCGCCGCAGACUGUGGCUCCGACUCGUUGUCUCCUAUUUGUGGUUUGCAUUGUGGUGCGGGUGGGUUCUUGGGUAGCCGUGCCCACGCUCUUUGGGCGUGGCUCGCCUCGCCCGCGCCACUUUGUUCUUAUUUGGAGGCAGACGGUGUUGCGGCGCAGUAGGUCGGUGAACCACCCGACCCGUCUUGAAACACGGAUAAAGGAGUCUAACAUGUGUGCGAGUCACUGGGUCUCGUCGAACCCACGGGCGCAAAGAAGUUUAUGGUUCUUGUCGGAAUCCCCCGCAUAAAUGCGAGGGGCGCACCGACGGUCUGCCUUGAUCUUAUAUGACCUCGGCGAAGCCUGAGCACAUACGUUGGGACCCGAAAGAGGAUGAACUAUGCCUAGACAGGACGAAGACAGGGGAAAUCCUGUUGGAAGUCCGAAGUGGUUCUGACGUGCAAAUCGAUCGUCUGAUCCGUAUAUAGGGGCGAAAGACUAAUCAAAUCAUCUAGUAGCUGGUUCCCUCCGAAGUUUCCCUCAGGAUAGCUGGCGCUCGAUCGAAAUUCAGUCACGAUCGUAAAGCGAAUGAUUAGAGGCCUUGGGGACGAAACGACCUCAACCUAUUCUCAUACUUUCAAUGGUCGUAGAGUCCUUUCUCGAGCUGAAGGUUGGACGGUGGUUAAGAGUGCCUAGUGGGCUACUUUUGGUAAGCAGAACUGGCGCUGUGGGAUGAACCAAACGCCGGGUUAAGGCGCCCGAUGCAGAGACGCUCAUGAGACCCCAUGAAAGGUGUUGGUUGCUCUUGACAGCAGGACGGUGGCCAUAGAAGUCUGCAUCCGCUAAGGAGUGUGUAACAACUCACCUGCCAAAGCAACUAGCCCUGAAAAUGGAUGGCGCUCCAGCGUCGAGCCCAUACUCGGCCGGUGCCCGAAAUAGAAAUUAAUUUUAUUCGGGCACUGAGUAGGAGGGUCGUGGAAGGGCGUGGCGCGAGCCUGCCUGGAGCCCCCGCCGGUGCAGAUCUUGGUAGUAGCAAAUACUCAAGUGAGAAGCUUGAGGGCUGAAGAUGGAGAAGGGUUCCAUGUCAACAGCUUUUGCACAUGGGUGAGUCGGUCCUUAGCCAACGGAGAGAUCCGUGCUAGGCAAGACUUUACGAGUCAUGCUAUGGAAAUGUGAUCGGGUUAAGAUUCCCGAACCCGGACACGAAAUAAAUGAGACCUCGGUCUCUGGUGCGCUAACGCAAACGAACUCGGAGGCACCAGGGAAGAGAUUGUUUCUUUUCUUCGUAAGAGGUGCGAAGUCCCUGGAAAGGUGUCAUGCCGAGAUAGGGACAGGCGGCCUCGAAAGAGCACCUCGUUUCAUGAGUUGUGCCUGGGACCCCUUUACGGGCCCUUGCAAAUCCGAGGGAGAGUCCAUGAUUUUCGUGCUGGGCCGUACUUAUAUCCGCAUCAGGUCUCCAAGGUGAACAGCCUUUAGUCACUAGAACAAUGUAGGUAAGGGAAGUCGGCAAAUUCGAUCCGUAACUUCGGGAUAAGGAUUGGCUCUGGGGGCCCCGUUCGUUGGGCUGUGUCUCCGAAGCCCUGUUUGCGUACCGUUCGGACUGGGAUCCCUUCCGGGGUUCUGGACUGAUAUGUGCCUGCGGGGUGGAAGUACGCAGUUUUUGCCCUUGAACUCUUUCUUAGGGAACUCGGGCUUUACGACGGACGUUAUGGGGCCGACUCAGAACUGGUAUGGGCCCUGGGAAUCCGACUGUCUAAUUAAAACAAAGCAUUGCGAUGGUCUGCGAGAGAUGUUGACGCAAUGUGAUUUCUGCCCAGUGCUCUGAAUGUUAAAGUGAAGAAAUUCAAUGAAGCUCGGGUAAACGGCGAGAGUAACUAUGACUCUUUUUUUAAUGUAGCCAAAUGCUUCGUCAUCUAAUUAGUGACGCGCAUGAAUGGAUUAACGAGAUUCCCAACGGGCUUGGCACUAUCAGCGGGGAAAGAAGACCCUGUUCAACUUUACUCUAGUCAGACAUUGCUUAGAGACAUGAAGGGUAUAGAAUAAGUGGGAGUAAGCUCUGCUUACGCCGGUGAAAUACCACUACCUUCAUCGUCUCUUUACUUACUCGGUAGUGCGGAGAAAACUCCGAUCAAACGGAGUCUGUAUGGCUUUGAAACCUUUUAUCACUCUAUUAAGAGGUGAUCAGCUUCGGAGAAAGUGUCCGGUAGGGAGUUUAACUGAAGCGGUAUACCUGUCAAACGGUAACGCAGGCGUUCUAAGGCCAGCUCAGCGGGGACACAAACCUCGCGUAGAACAAAAGGGCAAAAGCUGGCUUGAUCCUGAUUUUCAGUACGAUUACGGACUGCGAAAGCGGGGCCUAUCAAUCCUUUUGAUAUUACGAGUUUUAAGCAAGAGCUGUCAGAAAAGUUACUACAAGGAUAAUUGGCUUGUGGCGGCCAAGCGUUCAUAGCGAUGUCGCUUUUUGAUUUUUUGAUAUCGGCUCUUCCUAUCAUUGUGAAGCAGAAUUCGCAAAGCGUUGGAUUGUUCACCCUCUAACAGGGAAUGUGAGCUGGGCUUAGACCGUAGUGACACAGAUUAAUUUUACCCUUCUGAUGGAUGGUUUUUGCAAUAGCAAUCGAGCUCAGUACGAGAGGAACCGCAGGUUCGGAAAUUUGGUAUGUGCGCCUGGCCGGAGGGCCAAUGGUGCUAGGCUACCGUCCGCAGGUUAACGGCUGAACGCCACUAAGCCGGAAGCCCCCCUAACCUGUGGCAGAGAUAGCGUGUGCCGCCAGCCGUCGCUUGGCAGAGUUAGGUUCCUUUAUUUGGAGCCGAAGAAGCCUUUUCGGUGAUCUGAGCAGUUCUGGGGCAGACCCGACUGUGUUUCCCCCGUGCUUUUUGACCUGAGCCUCCUAGUUCGAAGGAGGUGUGAUGCGGUGGUGCCGAAUCUUCCGUAGACGACUCACCUACUGCUCGGGGUGUCGUAAGUGCGAGAGCAGCCACCUUACUGCAAUCCACUGGAACUCGUC